AUGCUCUCUUCAGCAGCACAUAUACUAAAAUUGGAACGGAGAAGAUUAGCAUGGCCCCGCUGCAAGGAUGACACACAAAUUCAUGAAGUAUUUCAUAUUUUU